CUGUGACCAUGAGUUCAACGGCCGCGGUAUUUUAACCGUGCAAAGGUAGCGCAAUCACUUGUCUUUUAAAUGAAGACCUGUAUGAAUGGCCCAACGAGGGCUUAACUGUCUCCUUCUCCCAGUCAAUGAAAUUGAUCUCUCCGUGCAGAAGCGGAGUUAACACUAUAAGACGAGAAGACCCCAUGGAGCUUAAGACACUAGGUACCCCUCUCUAAACAAGACUUCCUCCCAGACUUGAAACUACGGGCCUCCACCCUACUUGUCUUCGGUUGGGGCGACCACGGAGGAAAAACCAGCCUCCCAGUGGACCAAGAGUAUAACUCUCACAAGUUAGACCCACAAGUCUAAAUCACAGAACUUCUGACCAAAAUGAUCCGGCUACCGCCGAUUAACGAACCAAGUUACCCUGGGGAUAACAGCGCAAUCCUCUCCCAGAGUUCCUAUCGACGAGGGGGUUUACGACCUCGAUGUUGGAUCAGGACAUCCUAAUGGUGCAGCCGCUAUUAAGGGUUCGUUUGUUC
rnacentral:rRNA from 1 species